rnacentral:rRNA from 1 species
AUUGAACGCUGGCGGCAGGCCUAACACAUGCAAGUCGAACGAGUGGCGGACAGGUGAGUAAUGUCUGGGAAACUGCCUGAUGGAGGGGGAUAACUACUGGAAACGGUAGCUAAUACCUCCUACCAUCAGAUGUGCCCAGAUGGGAUUAGGUUGUUGGUGGGGUAACGGCUCACCAAGGAGAAGAUCCCUAGCUGGUCUGAGAGGAUGAACAGCCACAAUGGAACUGAGACACGGUCCAGACUCCUACGGGAGGCAGCAGUGGGGAAUAUGGCACAAUGGGCGCAAGCCUGAUGCAGCCAUGCCGCGUGUAUGAAGAAGGCCUUCGGGUUGUAAAGUACUUUCAUCGGGGAGGCGUUACCCGCAGAAGAAGCACCGGCUAACUCCGUGCCAGCAGCCGCGGUAAUUC